CCUACGGGCGGCUGCAGUGGGGAAUAUUGCACAAUGGGCGCAAGCCUGAUGCAGCCAUGCCGCGUGUGUGAAGAAGGCCUUCGGGUUGUAAAGCACUUUCAGCGGGGAGGAAGGCGGUGAGGUUAAUAACCUCAUCGAUUGACGUUACGCGCAGAAGAAGCACCGGCUAACUCCGUGCCAGCAGCCGCGGUAAUACGGAGGGUGCAAGCGUUAAUCGGAAUUACUGGGCGUAAAGCGCACGCAGGCGGUCUGUCAAGUCGGAUGUGAAAUCCCCGGGCUCAACCUGGGAACUGCAUUCGAAACUGGCAGGCUAGAGUCUUGUAGAGGGGGGUAGAAUUCCAGGUGUAGCGGUGAAAUGCGUAGAGAUCUGGAGGAAUACCGGUGGCGAAGGCGGCCCCCUGGACAAAGACUGACGCUCAGGUGCGAAAGCGUGGGGAGCAAACAGGAUUAGAUACCCGUGUAGUC
rnacentral:rRNA from 1 species